rnacentral:tRNA from 1 species
AUUUAUAUAGUAUAAAAAGUAUCUUUGACUUCCAAUCAAAAGGUCUAAUUUUUAGUAUAAAUA